UAUAUUUAAUAUAUAUAUUUAUUUAAUAGUAAAUAUAUAUAAUGCUAUCCAUUUCACGUAAUUUUUGGAAUUUUUUAAUUAUUCUGAUGUCAACCUUACACUUAUAUUUUUCACAGGUUUUGAAUAUAAUGUCUCCAGUAUGGAUAUGUUUGACGAUUGUUACCAUGGAAACGAACUCACAGACCAACAUGUAUGUCAAAACAGGUUUUGAACAUGAUGUCUCCAGCAAGGAUAUGUUUGAUGAUGGUUACCAUGGGAACGAACUCACAGACCUAUGUUUUGAACAUGAUGUCUCCAGCAAGGAUAUGGUUGAUAACGGUUACCAUGGAAACGAACUCACGGACCUAUGUCAAAAAUGUCUUUUUCUGAUAAAAUAAAUAUAAUGCUAUCCAUUUCA